UACGUAGGGUGCGAGCGUUAAUCGGAAUUACUGGGCGUAAAGCGUGCGCAGGCGGUUUUGUAAGCCAGAUGUGAAAUCCCCCGGGCUCAACCUGGGAAUGGCAUUUGGGACUGCAAGGCUUGAGUGCGGCAGAGGAGACUGGAAUUCCUGGUGUAGCAGUGAAAUGCGUAGAUAUCAGGAGGAAUACCGAUGGCGAAGGCAGGUCUCUGGGCUGACACUGACGCUCAUGCACGAAAGCGUGGGGAGCAAAC
rnacentral:rRNA from 1 species